CGCCACUGGUUGUGUGCAGUACUCUGGUUUUCAGGUUUCUUCUUACAUGGAUUCUUUGUUGUAUUUCAAUAAGGAUCCAGAUCAAUGAUUUUGCAAUGAACACAUGUGUGGUGGAAGGGGCCUUGAGAUUUCCAUGUUGGGGAAGAAGUGGUCUUUUGCUGCAGGGAAGGGAAGGGCACCAGGUUUCAGAUUACCAACCAUCAGUGCCUUAUUUUGAAGAGGAUUAUACAAUCUUCAUAUUGGAGAUGGCCAGUUACAGUUUCAUCUAAACAAUGGGGUUUGAAACUUUUGCAGGGCCUAGAUUUGAGAAUGCUGGAGUGUGUAGACAUUCCCAUACCAUCAUAUUGGGGGUCUGUAGUCCGGUCUUAUAUUUCUUACCCUGAGCAUUAUGUACUAUCUCACAUGUUCACUUAAAUUGUACCAUCUUAUUUGU